CCCUCCUACGUCCUUGAUGCCGCCGCCGCCGCCGCCCCUCCUACAUCUGAAAAUUGUUUUCAGACACUGGACAACAGCAGCACACUUUGAUUUGCUGAGAAACAGGAAACUUAAAGGGGAAGUCCCAUGAUUUCCUUGUUCUUUGGUGGGGACAAUUUCUCACCAGCUGCACUGCGGGCUAAAGUCCACUCAGAGCAGGGCAGCCCACUGAUCUGAGAAGGCAGAGAUCAGAGUUCAGGGCUGCUGAAGCAACUGCAACCUGCAGGGUAGGGCAUCAGUGAGGACACAGCUGUGCAGAGGGGCAGCUCCCAAAGUCCACGUGGGGUCCCAUUUGCAUACUUAUCAAGGACUGAACUCUACCCGCACAAAAAAAGACUAAUAGAUUUAACAGAGGGGUGGCUGCUACAAAAUUAUGUUUGGACCAGAGGUACUUCAGGUGGAGGAGCAUUGGGGAAUGAAUGGGCGAUGGAGUUCCUGCCAUCCGUGGUGGGGGAACGACGUCAUGCACACCUCAUUAGCACCCAGGACUCUUCAUGAUGGUCUAACCUGGUUACAUGUCCUGGUUCCUUGGAAACCCUCACAUAAUCUAUGCUACUGUCAGAGUUAUCAAAUGGAGAUGUCCAAAAAUGACUACAUAUUAUGUAAGUUACAAUCUCAUGUGUCACUUACAGAGCUCGUGUGUCACAUCUGGGCUAGAUCAUUUCCUAGUAUGGAAGGAAGGCUCUUUGGGGACUGAUGGUGGUGAUGGUGGUGGUCUCAGCCUUGUUGUUGCUUUAUGUGUGCCUCGCAAUUGAUUUUAUUCUGGAGUACAAUAAUAUAAGUUAAUAAAAUUUGAUACUAGGUAAGAUUUAUGAUUCUCAAAAGGUUUAUUUGCAGCCUGUUCUUCUGUGUUGUCUCCAUUUCAGGUAAAUAUUCUCUUAUGCAAUUCCCUGAUGUUUCUUAAAACAGAGCUCAUGUCCUUUGCAGGAACAUGGAUGGAGUUGGAGGCCAGUGUUCUUAGCAAACCAGCUCAGGAACAGAAAACUGAAUACUGCAGGUUCUCACUUAUAGGUGGCAGCUAAAUAAUAAAAACACACCAACACAAAGAGGGGAACAAGAGACACUGGGGCUUACCUGAGGGUAAAGGGUGGGAAGAGGGAGAGGAGCAGAAAAAAUAACUAUUGGGUACUAGGUGUAGUACUGCAUGAUGAAAUAAUGCAUACAACCUGAGUUUAUAUAACACACUUCUACACAUAUUCCUGGACCUAAAAUAAAUUUUAUAAAAAUGAUGAGUGUUGGCCAAGUCAAACCAGAAUAACUCAGUGUGUAGGGUCAUGGUU
rnacentral:lncRNA from 1 species